GGCAGAAGUUCGAGUGCAUCAGAUUGAAAUAAUAGAGAGCAGGGAAAAGGGAAAGAUCAAAGGAUGUCUGGCAGAGGAAAGGGAGGAAAGGGGUUGGGAAAGGGAGGUGCCAAGAGGCAUAGGAAGGUGCUCCGAGAUAACAUCCAGGGCAUCACCAAACCUGCUAUACGACGGCUGGCCAGGCGUGGCGGAGUGAAGCGUAUCAGCGGUCUUAUUUACGAGGAGACUAGAGGCGUCCUGAAGAUCUUCCUGGAGAACGUCAUUCGUGAUGCAGUUACCUACACCGAGCACGCUCGCCGCAAGACUGUUACUGCCAUGGAUGUCGUGUAUGCAUUGAAGAGGCAGGGCAGGACUCUCUACGGUUUCGGUGGUUAGAGAUUUGGGGAUAGGGUUAGGGUAGAUUUUAGUUUGUACUAGUGGAGAAUGGUGUUAAGUUUUAAUGGAAAUUUCUCAUUACGUCUCUAUUUUUUGAUUGAUGGUGAUUGGAUUUUGCUUUAUAUUUUCCUUUUCUCAAUUGUGUUUGGAUGGUGAGAAAAAAGUAGGAAUUAAUUGGUAAUCCAAACCAUAUGCUUCGAUAUUUUUGGGGAACGGCUAAUUGUAAGUUUUAAUAUUUUUUUCGUUUGAAACUGAUUUAAUUUUAAGUUAAU
rnacentral:misc_RNA from 1 species